GUAACCUGCAGUGUUGAAAACGUGUUUUCCGACGAUGUUUGCUACCCUACAAUCCGUCCUGCUCUGUAGUAAAAUCAGCGACAUUUAACCGUCCUGUUGCUCCCUUUGAAAUGUAUACAGCCUAUUUAAAAUCUAAAACUUAAAAUUGUCCGUAGCUACUGUUGUUACCACUGUCCUGUUUGAAAUGGAUACUAACUAGCUAACUGGCUGGAUGCCCAUUAACCUUAUAACUCCUGUUUUGUGUGUGUGUGUGUGUGUGUGUGUGUGUGUGUGUGUGUGUGUGUGUGUGUGUGUGUGUGUGUGUGUGUGUGUGUGUGUGUACAGAGAGACAGCCAGGUUCAUAAUGGAAAUAAGAAGUUUUUUCAAAAGAAGGAGCCACAUUCAGUCCGAAGAGGGAGAGAGGAAAGAGGGGAAUGUGAGGAGAAAGUACAAGGUCAGGAAGAACCAGCAUGUCUUUAUCCUGUUUUCCUUCUCUCACUCCAACCGGUCACAGCAGAUGGCCCCGCCCCUCCCUGAGCCUGGUUCUGCCGGAGGUUUCUUCCUGUUAAAAGGGAGUUUUUCCUUCCCACUGUCACUAAAGUGCUUGUUCAUAGGGGGUCAUAUGAUUGUUGGGUUUUUCUCUGUAUCAACUGUACAAUAUAAAGCGCCUUGAGGCGACUUUUGUUGUGAUUUGGCGCUAUAUAAAUAAAAUUGAAUUGAAUUGAAUUGUAAGAGGGUAAUACAGUUUUAUACCAUUUAAAAAUCUUCCUCUGGGAAAUAACACAGCCGAUCCUGCUGCUCCCGACUGGAUCUUCUUCUGCAAUUCAUCUACGUCUGCUCCUGCUCCUUUACUGGAAAAAGGUAGAGAAAGAACAACACCUCCCUCCUUAAUCUUGCUGUGUUGCUAUUAUCUAACAAUUCUCAGCCUGUAAUUUUGUACUUAUUAUCUAAGUCUGGGAUAUUCUGCUCAGACUCCUUUAGCCCAGGAAAAUUGCACCCUGACUUUAACUGGUUAUGAUAUGUAAGCAUGUUUGGAAAUCCCUCUGCAGCUCUGCAUGUCAGUCUCAAUAAUUCAGUUCAAUCAAAGAGCUAAAUUCACGCUUUUACCCCAUUAUUACACGGAGGGCUAACUCUUAAUAGAGCGUUGCAAUGUAUAAAAAUCACUAAAUGAACUUUAUUUCAUCAUUAUAUUCUUAACAUGCUCAGACAGUGAGCGACUUCUCCCUGCUGUCUUAUUUUCACCUUUGACCUUUACUGCGAUGUCUGGGAGCCCGUCCCCUUCUCUCUGCCGCUCACACAUCCAGUAGCAGGCCUUGUUUGUGCCUUCAUGAGCUGUACCAUCCAGUGUUUUGCUUCAUUAAGUCUUUCUUUUUAUCAAUGUUUUGUCAGUCUCGUAUUUUAAUUUUUCUUUAUGUCCAGCAGAUCUCUCAAUCUUGCCAAAUCCUAUUACACACAAUGUACAUAUGUUUGCAAUUCACAUCUCCUUU